rnacentral:lncRNA from 1 species
CUGACAUGUAGUUGGCGCUCAAUUAAUAUUUGUUGAAUAAAUAAAUGAAUGAAAGCAAUUAUCUAAAGGGCUAUGGAACAAGCCAUCCAAGGAGAAUAUGAGCAACUUGGUGUGAGAGUAUGCGAUGCAGCGAUGAGCAUAUAAGUCAUGUUAAAAUGUGCGUGACGCUUGCAUCGGUGCAGGAAUGAUAAGGAGGAAUCUCUCAAUACAAAGGACAUAAUUCUAUAGACAUUUUCCUUUUUAUUCUCUUACAAAUUGUAGGAUCAACACCAAAUAGUAAGAGCAAAAAAGACUUAGGGGGCUAUUCCUCACUUCUUUUGGACCAAGUUGUGUUCUGCAGAAAACAGAUGUCCUAUGAAAUGGUAAUGCGUAUUCCACAAAUCAGAUCAUUAAAUGUAGGAAUGUGAACUGGAAUGUUGACACAAGGGAUCAAGGAUAGUUUCCAUAGAACAUCAUUUGGAAAAUGCUGCUUUGCAGCAUUAUUUGCUCCAACUCAUUCAUACCAUCGCUCAGGUCAGCAGGCGGCCAGCAUGUGUUGUUUUGCGGCUGGCAUUCCCACCACAGGAGUUGUUCCAAGGAGUGACUCUAUCUAAAGCUGUCUUCACUGGUAACACUUCACUCUUUGGCACUUUUUUCCACUCUCCAUUUUCAUCUCCGUUGCUACCCUCAAUCCCCUCUCAUGUCUCUACCUUCAGAUGUACUAGGAUUCACUUCUUAGCUUGAAUUGGAACCUGAUUUCAGUGUUGACCCAAAUCCAUCAUUCAAGGGCAAUGACAAGGUCCAAGACUGAUAAAGUCCCACUUGGGAAAUGUGUCUCAGCAGAGUACAUAAUAGGUAGUCAACCAGAAACAAACUUUUCUUGCUUAUGAGUUGUACUUGCAAAUUAAAGGGGCGAUUGGAAUAUAAGAACAAGGAAAGAAGAUGAGCCAUGUUUAUACUGAGCCAAUAGAUCAAGUCACUGACAGAGAAGAUAGGAGUACUGAAAUUGUCAGAUUGUGGAACAAACAGUUUGUUGACUCCACUGUGACUAAAAUGUUUGGUAGACGACAAAGUAUCAAAUAUAGACAGCUUUGGGUUAGAGGACUUUGCCCAGCUGUAGACUCACGUGAGUGUUCUGAGCAUGCUGAAGGGGGCGAGGCUAAGCCAGGAAGUUCAGUGGGGUAGGUGGAUUAAAUGCACUUUCGACUUAGGAUAUUUUCAGUUUACAGUGGGUUUUUUGGGAUAUUACCCUAUCAUUAAGUUAAGGAAGAUCUGUAUCUUAGCUAUUUGGAGGUUGAACAGCUGUGGACUUUCCUAGACUAUUCUGUCUCUCUUCAAAAAAUAAAAACAAACAUAAAAGCAAGUGGUAAUGGGAAAAUUGGGUAAAGAUGUUUGACAAGAGAAGUUAUCCUUAGAUGGUUUUACCUACAUAGUUUUCACUAUUUGCUGUUUUAAACUUACUGCCCAUAAUUUCCUGUCCGUAACUUACUGGCAUGGUUAGCUAACCUUCUCUUCUUUCAUUUAUCUAACAGUUUUGGGGCUGCUCUGAGAAUGCC